GACGAACGCUGGCGGCGUGCUUAACACAUGCAAGUCGAACGGAAAGGCCCUGCUUUUGUGGGGUGCUCGAGUGGCGAACGGGUGAGUAACACGUGAGUAACCUGCCCUUGACUUUGGGAUAACUUCAGGAAACUGGGGCUAAUACCGGAUAGGAGCUCCUGCUGCAUGGUGGGGGUUGGAAAGUUUCGGCGGUUGGGGAUGGACUCGCGGCUUAUCAGCUUGUUGGUGGGGUAGUGGCUUACCAAGGCUUUGACGGGUAGCCGGCCUGAGAGGGUGACCGGCCACAUUGGGACUGAGAUACGGCCCAGACUCCUACGGGAGGCAGCAGUGGGGAAUAUUGCACAAUGGGCGGAAGCCUGAUGCAGCAACGCCGCGUGCGGGAUGACGGCCGUCGGGUUGUAAACCGCUUUCGCCUGUGACGAAGCGUGAGUGACGGUAAUGGGUAAAGAAGCACCGGCUAACUACGUG
rnacentral:rRNA from 1 species